UAGAUGUCAGUAACUAGAGAAUCAUCGCAUCCUAACUCAAGCAAACCGCAUUGACGCUUUCUGCAAUAGGUAAUUAUAGCCUGAGUGACCGCAACAGCAUAGAAAAGAUGAACCAGAGUCAGGAAGGCAUCUUCGCAUGACAACAAUGGACAUGGAAGGCAAUAUAUGAUCCACAUUAACGAAGAAAAAGCAUCAUGUGCAA
rnacentral:misc_RNA from 1 species